rnacentral:lncRNA from 10 species
CUCCAGACUGAAAUGUUGGUUGUUGUUCUGUCUUCCUCUGUCCCGAGAGCCCACACAUUUUCCAACUCUUCUCUUGAUGGAUUCGGGUUGGGUGUUGCUAGAUUUCUGUCUUAUCACACAAACAGUAUGAGCAGGAAUUGUCUCUCCUGUCCCAGAAGGAAAUAGUUCCAACUUAUUCACAAAAUUCCAGUCUCCGGGUUACAAGAAAACUUUGAAUCCGUCCCCUGCUCACACCUCCCGCCUUCCCACAACACCUGCCAAAUACUCUCCGCACCCAGCCCUCCAGCUUGGAUCCUAGGCUUGAGCGCCUCUGAGUGACCCAGGCAGGAAAUGCGUCCCGGUGCUGUGUCAGCAGCUGCCAGGUGCGGGGCGCGGCCCGCGCGGAUGCUGACCCCGUGGCGCCGAAGCAGGUGCUGCCCAUUCUUGUUAACACCGUGAAGCAGGUGCCCCUUCUGAGCAUUUCCUUCAAGAUGGCCGAGACCUCUCCAAGGUGAUCGGCAUCGUCCCACCUUCUGCUCGAGCUGUCUUUCAAGGCCGGUGUUAUCCCUGCUUACAAGUGAGGCUGGGAUUGCUGGUUCGUGGCUGAUCUUCCUCCAUCCCUCUUGCCCUGCAAGUUUAUCUUACGAACCAAGGACGUGCCUGCUUCCCUUCGCCUUCUGCCAGGAUUGUAAGUUUCCUGAGGCCUCCCCAGCCAUGCUUCCUGUACAGCCUGUGGAACUGUGAGUCAAUUAAACCUCUUUCCUUUAUAAAUUACCCAGUCUCAGGUUUCUUUAUAGCAAAGCAAGAAGGGACCCAUACAAGCACAUUUACAAUUUCAUGUAAGUAUCACCACUACCCAUUUCCAGAGCUUUUUCUUUUUAUUUAUUUAUUUAUUUAUUUAUUUAU